rnacentral:rRNA from 1 species
GACGAACCGAGCGAACGUUGUUCGGAAUCACUGGGCUUAAAGGGCGCGUAGGCGGGCUGUCAAGUCUGGGGUGAAAUCCCGCGGCUCAACCGUGGAACUGCCUCAGAUACUGACGGCCUCGAGGGAGGUAGGGGCGAGCGGAACUGUGAGUGGAGCGGUGAAAUGCGUUGAUAUUCACAGGAACUCCGGUGGCGAAGGCGGCAGCCUGGACCGAUACUGACACUGAGGAGCGAAAGCCAGGGGAGCAAACGGG